GAAGCGAAGCAGCGAUGUGAAGCAAAUCGCACCAAAAGCCGGUCCCAGUUCGGAUAAGAGGCUGAAACUCGCCUCUUUGAAGUCGGAAUCGCUAGUAAUCGCAGAUCAGCAUGUUGCGGUGAAUACGUUUCCUGGUCUUGUACACACCGCCCGUCAAACCAUGAGAGUCGCCAACACCCGAAGUCCGCUUUGCGGCCUAAGGUGGGGAGAUGAUUGGGGUUAAGUCGUAACAAGGUAGC
rnacentral:rRNA from 1 species